rnacentral:rRNA from 1 species
GAUGAACGCUAGCUACAGGCUUAACACAUGCAAGUCGAGGGGAAACGACAUCGAAAGCUUGCUUUUGAUGGGCGUCGACCGGCGCACGGGUGAGUAACGCGUAUCCAACCUGCCCAUCACUUGGGAAUAACCUUGCGAAAGUAAGACUAAUACCCAAUGAUAUCCCACGAAGGCAUCGGAAUGGGAUUAAAGAUUUAUCGGUGAUGGAUGGGGAUGCGUCUGAUUAGCUUGUUGGCGGGGUAACGGCCCACCAAGGCAACGAUCAGUAGGGGUUCUGAGAGGAAGGUCCCCCACAUUGGAACUGAGACACGGUCCAAACUCCUACGGGAGGCAGCAGUGAGGAAUAUUGGUCAAUGGGCGAGAGUCUGAACCAGCCAAGUAGCGUGCAGGAAGACGGCCCUAUGGGUUGUAAACUGCUUUUAGAAGGGAAUAAAGUGGGUCACGUGUGACUUUUUGCAUGUACCUUAUGAAUAAGGACCGGCUAAUUCCGUG